rnacentral:rRNA from 1 species
AGUGAACGCUGGCGGUAGGCCUAACACAUGCAAGUCGAACGGCAGCACAGUAAGAGCUUGCUCUUACGGGUGGCGAGUGGCGGACGGGUGAGGAAUACAUCGGAAUCUACUUUUUCGUGGGGGAUAACGUAGGGAAACUUACGCUAAUACCGCAUACGACCUACGGGUGAAAGCAGGGGAUCUUCGGACCUCGCGCGAUUGAAUGAGCCGAUGUCGGAUUAGCUAGUUGGCGGGGUAAAGGCCCACCAAGGCGACGAUCCGUAGCUGGUCGGAGAGGAUGAUCAGCCACACUGGAACUGAGACACGGUCCAGACUCCUACGGGAGGCAGCAGUGGGGAAUAUUGGACAAUGGGCGCAAGCCUGAUCCAGCCAUACCGCGUGGGUGAAGAAGGCCUUCGGGUUGUAAAGCCCUUUUGUUGGGAAAGAAAAGCAGCAGGUUAAUACCCCGCUGUUCUGACGGUACCCAAAGAAUAAGCACCGGCUAACUUCGUG